GCGCCUACGGGAGGCAGCAGUGGGGAAUAUUGGGCAAUGGGCGCAAGCCUGACCCAGCAACGCCGCGUGAAGGAAGAAGGCUUUCGGGUUGUAAACUUCUUUUCUCAGGGACGAAGCAAGUGACGGUACCUGAGGAAUAAGCCACGGCUAACUACGUGCCAGCAGCCGCGGUAAUACGUAGGUGGCAAGCGUUAUCCGGAUUUACUGGGUGUAAAGGGCGUGCAGCCGGGAAGACAAGUCAGAUGUGAAAUCCCGCGGCUCAACCGCGGAACUGCAUUUGAAACUGUUUUUCUUGAGUACCGGAG
rnacentral:rRNA from 1 species